CAUCUGUACAGCUACAGUGUACUCAUAUACAUAAAAUAGAUAGAAUGGAGAAAGCACAUGCCUCUGUCUUGAUCCAUUUUACUAAAAGUGCAUCGACUUUCCCCCCAUUUAAUAUAAUGGUGGCUGUAGGUUUGCCGUAUAAAAUCUUUAUGAUAUUGAGAUAAGUUUCUCUUGCCCUCAGCUCUCCAGGCAUUAGCAUGAAGAGAAUAUUGGAUAAAAGCCUUUUCUGCAUUUACUGAAAUGAUCCUUGCGUGCAUUUCUGUGGUGUGUUAUGUUUGACAGUUUGAAUAUUUUGAAUUAUUUCUACAUCUUCAGAAUGAAGCCAGUGUGAUCAUGACCAAAUGAUCUUUUUUAUUUGUUCUUGAAUUCAGUUUGCAAGUCUUGAGACUCUUUGACUUUAUUUUCAGCCCAGAGAUUAGUCUGUAAUCUUCUUGAUGUGUGUUGUCCUGGUUUUGGCAUUGGGCAUUUGUCACACUCCCCUGUUUUCUGUCACAUGCAGUACUUUAAGAAGUGGUGGUGGUGUCUCUUCCUUAAAGGUCUGAAAGAAAUGAGCAGUGGGUCUCUCAGCUUCUGGACUUUUUUCUUGGGAGAUUUUUCCUUCUAGUUUAGCCUCACUGCCUGUCACAGAUCUCUUGACUUAGCUUUGGUAGGCUGGCAUCCAUCUGGAAAUUAAGCUGUUUCUUUCAGGUUUUCCUGCUAUUAUUUCUAGCUUAAGUGUUUUUUAGUUUUUUUUAAAUUUCAUUGGUAUCUGUUGUAAUGUCACCCUUUUUGUCGCUAUUAAUUGGACUCUUCUCUGGGUUGCUUUAGAUAAGGGUUCAUUGAUCUGUUUAUCUUUCCAACAAACAAUCAUGAUUUUUGUUUUGUUUUGUUUUGUUUUAUUUGUUUCAUUGAAUUUCUACCCUGAUCUUAUUUCUUUCCAUGCACUUACUGCUUUUGGAUUUUGCUGCGAAACAUUGUGUAUUCUGCAGCAUUUGACCUAUGGUCCAUUUUUAUAGAUCUAUUUGAUCAUUUAAUACAGAUGUUUGUCCGUUAGUAAAAUUGGGGUAGUGGAAAUACUUUUAUAUGUUAGGGUUAUCUGUGACUUAUCAUCUAAUAGUACUUUUAAACGAAAUUGACAAUAAAUAAAAACAAACAAAAUCUAACCACUGACCUAACCGUCUAUGCACAAAUGCAAUGCAAGAACACAAGAAACAGUAAAAUCUAAGACACUGUGGCGUCUCCAAAAAGUAUCUCGAUCCCAGAGAAAUGACCUUCAAUGAAAGUAAUUUACAUGAAACUCCCAAGAGUUAAAAAAUGAUUGUUUUUUAUAUAUAGACUUUCUUGGUGUCAUUUUUCUCUGCUAGACUGGUAAUCAAAGCACUAGGUUCAAUCCCCGGUACUCUGAAAAUGGAAUACUGUCUGGGGGUGGGAGGGAUCACUUAUCAGAGGGUAGACCCACUAAAAAUACAGUCGACUAGAACACAGUCAGCCCUUACUGACUAGUGAUUUUAUGAUAUAAAGAACACCGAUAACAUUGUGUGUGCCAUUUUAGUUGCUGCAGGCAUGAUGGUAAGGGGGGACACCGAAUCAGACUAAUGACUAAUCCUGGGUUUACACAGAAAAGGAGAAAAAGGAAGUAGGGAUAGCAGGAGGAGCAGUAGGCAGAGGAGAUGAGGCCAUUUGGGCUCAAGGUAGAAUGAAAAGUGGUGAGGAAGCGUCUGUUGAGCUACAAGCCCCUCAAACUGCACAGGCCUCUGUUCUUUGGGAAAGCUAUUUCAAUGAGGACGGGGAGAAGAGAACAGGAACAGAGCCCUCCCACGUUGACAUUGGAUGUUAAAUGGUGUUACAUAAGGGAGAAAUAAAUGUAAAAGCAGAGGGCUGCCUGGGGCUGUAGACUGAACACAUCUGACCCGUCAGCUGGCUCCUGUCGGAGCUUCGGCAUUCCUUCCCCGCUUGCUUCCCGAUGCCUCCAUGCCCUUUCAUGCUCCUCUGUAAGCCUGAGUCUCAGCAUUCAGGAGGCAAGUUACAGUGUUUUCACCUCUGGGCUGUCCGGCUUUGUAUGGUCCUGCACUGAUGCUGGCCAGGCCUCCAGGGGUACUUCUUCAGGAGUCUUGUUGGGAAUACUGGCACAGCCCCAGGCAGGUCAGGGCAAGGUUGGCUUCACAAACCCGUGUUCCUAUCUUCAUCAUUCACCAGUCAGUGUUGACCCUGCCCCGGGGAGUCAUUCCUGCUUUGAGGUGUACAACAUGCAACCCAACCAAGUCUUUACGCCCCUGCAGAUUCUGGCUUCAACCAGACUUCUACCUUCUCGCACGCUACGUGGUUUUUGUUCAGGUUUUCUUCCCAGCCGACUUGGGCCUUUCUGCUGGGCAGGGUUUGGUGUAUCAUCCUCGACACUUUGAAUUUGCUGAGAGGGCUUACAGGUCACAGGCUCUCCAGACACCCCGCUGCUGACUCUGCAAGGGGCUUUUUAAGAUGGUGCAGCAUGGCAGCCCCGUCAAGAGCUGAGAAAGGGGUUUGCUGACAUCUCUCUUCCCUCUGACUGUACCGCUGUUGCUGUCUUUCCUGUUCCCCUUCUUUUUCUCAUCUGUAAGACGUCCCUUACUGGAAGAACAGAUUCUCUGAGCCUCUCAUCUCUAGCCACAGUUCCCACGGUCUGUGCUUGGCACGCCCGCCCUCUGGGAGUGGGGCAUUCCCCAACUGAUGCAGCCCCUAGGGACACAUUCUGGACUUGCUUUUUUAAAUUCUCUUAUUUUUGCCUUGGUUUAAAAAUCCGGAGAUACCUGCCUCUUCUAAAAGCUGUUACCUUAUUUUGUCUAGUUUAUUUCCUGAGACCGGAGCAGACCCUGCCUGUGUGUCCUGCUUCUGCGGUCUCUGUUCUUUUUUAGCUUUUUCUUUGUUUUUUAUGUGCAUUUGUGCUUUGCCUUUGUGAAUUCACAUGCAUCGCAUGCAUACAGGAGCCCACAGAGGCCAGAAGAGGGAAUCUGAACCUCUGGACUGGAGUUAUAAAUGGUUAUAAGCUUCCACGUGGGUGCUGGAAAUCAAACCCAGGACAUGAGAAAGUGCUCUUAAAGCACUGAGCCCUCUCUUAAGUCUCAAAACAUUCUUGAUGUUCCUAACGUCUCCUUUGAUCUUUGGCAAACAGGGUUGAUGAAGAUAAGUCUGAUCCAUUGAUCACAAUCGCUCCAAUCUGACAGCAACACUCUGGUCAGAUUUCUUCAAUGCCUGAGAUGUCUUUGACAGAAACUCUGAUAUGUCCCACUGUCCUCUUGGACCUACCUAACCAGUUUAUCCUUUACACUUGGUGGUUUGAGUGAUGGUUCCAGUGGAGAGAGUUGCAGCAUCAGCCGCUGCUCUCUGCUCUUUACACCAUUUCUCUGGCUACCACCUCUUCCUGGAAAAUGUAAAGCCCACGUUUGUCAUCCUUAAUUAAUUAAGGUAUUUGUAGAUAGUUGUUGUUGUUUUGGUUUUGCAUUUCUUAUGCUAAUUUAUUUAUUUAUUUCUUAUGCUAAUUUAAUUUAUUUAUUUAUUAUGCUAUCUUUGCCACAGUCCAUGUAGGACAUCUGGACUUGGCUUUGGGCUGAGGUCAUAGAAGACACCCAGGAUAGAAGUUGUAGGAACAAGUCAUGGAGGCAGAGAGCCAGUGAUGUGGCCACAGUUGGUCUUUUCUCAGAUGACCUGGACUCUGCCAUGUUGUCCAGCUCCAUUGCUGUGUGGACCAGACUUCCGUGGUUGUUUACUGGGAGAGGGUCUGUGAGAACUUCCUUCAGUCCCCAGUGGAACUUUUGUUGGGUUAGGAUUGAGAGUGUAUACACUGAUGCACUAAGUGUAAGACUGCUUGUGGCUCCUGCCAGCUCCUGAAAGUACAGGGAGGGAGGGCUCUUCCAGAGACGGUGAUGAUGAGUGGGUUUUCAGAUGAGCCUUCAGACAGUCUGGGUUUCUGUAUGGAGAUGGAGGCUGGAGGUUGUCUGGGAGCCAGCAUUUCAAGUCCAGGAACCUACAUUAGCAAAAGCGUAGAAGGCAGAGACAACACAUUGCACUGAAUUAGUGUGCGUGGGGGUGAAACUGCUAGUUUUUAAAAUUAAGAGGGGAAAGUGAGAGGAACAUGGAAUUUGGGUGUUCUCGUAGAUGAGAGAGAGAGGUGUGUCUUACUCAGCCUUGGGGGUGGGAAUAACUAUGCUCUAAAGGAAUCAUUCUGCCCACAGUUUCUGUCCUCACCAUCUAAGGAGGAGUGUACAGUUAGGCUGAGAAUUGCAAUGGCUUGUCCAUCAGCAGUAAACUGACAGAAGGUUUGUCAGAGACAGAAAAUUCCUCCUAAAGCAAGAGAUGGUAUUCAGGGCACCCAAAAGGGUAGAGGAUAGGUGGUUUGUACCGCGUGUAAAUAAGCCAGUCCCCAUGUUGACUUAAGCAAGGAUUUGUUCAGUGAUUCUGUCAACACAUUGCUGCCAUUACUGGUUGAAACAGCGGACCCAGAUUUGGCUUUCCAUUCAUGAGUUUGACAAAGGUUUAGCCAAGCUAGCUAGCACUUCUCAGCAAGCUUCAUGCCUUCCACUGUGAGUCUUUCCAAUGAAGUUGGUUCUCAUGGGUAAGGGUGCGUCAACACCAACACAUCUGGGCCUACUCUGCUCCCUCAGCAUCACUUCCGAGUCCUGAGGAAGCUGUGUGGUUGGGUUGGCCAACUGUGAAGCGCUGGCUCUCUGCCCUGUGCUACUUGGCGUUGAUGUAUUUUAAGAACAAGGCCCAAAAGUCACUGCAUGCCCUUACAAGGAAAUAGUCAGAAGCCAAAUCCUGAAUACAAAGCUGCUUCCUUGAGGAGUGGAUGAGAGAAAUCGGGAUGGCCCAGGUUCUGCUGCUCUGGGCCAUUCACAUUUGGAACUGAAGACAAAAAGAAUUGUGAAGUUGGUAGAAUCACAGAACAACCCCUGAUAAGAAGAGAGACUUGGAGGAUGGUAACUUGACCCAGCAAGAAAUGCCAAGGGCUGAGCUAUGUGGCUGUGGGUACAGUGCUUGCCUAGCGUGCACAAACUCUCUCCCCCACAUCACAUAAGAUGAAAUGAUGGUACAUCCCUGCAACCCAUCCCUUAGGCAGAGGCCAGAGGAUCAGCAGGAGCUCAGAAUUAUCUUCAACUACAUAAUAAGCCAGCCUGGGCUACAUGAGAGGCCAGCCUGGGCUACAUGAGACCCUAUUGAGAGACAGCUGAAAGAACUCCAAAGGUCCUGUCAUUGUUAAUCAUCUUCCUGAUGAUUGACGGGGAGCCGCUUCUUAUAGCUGAGUUGUAGAAAAGUACCCAUAGGCAAAAUGGUACAGAGUUCCUGGGCACAGCUUCAGAUACUGAGACACUGAGCCUUCAUUUACUGUCCUUGGAAACACUCUCUUAGUCACUGGGUGAAGAUGCAAAGCAUUCCAUCAGAGCUUCAAGGAGAAGGAAGGUAUGUUCAGAGGGAAAGCUGGGCAUGGUGGAGGCUGGGAGGUGACAGUAGAAAUGUGAGAGAGAAGCAGCACAAGAGCUGAGCUAGGAGAGGACAGAGUUGACAGCAACCAGGAGACAGCCCUCUCAGAGAACAGGAAACCAACCGACAACCUAGCUCUUCCUUCUUCACCGGCAGAAAUUGAGUUCAUGUCUGUUAGCUUGCUUUUCUCUCUAUUUUCAAUAUCCUCACAUCAAGCCCAAGCAAAUCACUGACUAGUUGAAAACGAAAUUAGGUUUUUAAAAACAACAGUGGGUGCACAUGUACUCAUGUUUAUAUUAAAGAGCUCAUAACAAUUUCAGAA